CCUCGCUUGGAUCAAGCCAUUUUGGUGGGGCCGUACAUGGUGGUUUCAUAUUUCUCCUCGUGGAAAAAAACAAACAAACAGUCCCCGUUGUAUUUCCGAAAGUCCACCCGAGACGAGACACGCGUUUUGUUGGAAUUGGGUAACGUUAUAUCCGUCAGCCACUCGAGCAGUUCGAGGACAUCUGUCGUUGGAUGCGUUGUCGUGUGGACCGUACGCAGUAACAGCAGCGAGUUGUCCAGCGGAUCCCUGUGGUCCCGUCGAACAAAGAACCAGCUAAGGCCGAUGCUGUGAAUGUUAUUUAUGAAACAUCUGGAUGUGUAGCCCAAACUAAAGCCAUUUUGGUUAUAGCAGUUUACCGUGACACGUAUUUCCUUAACUCCUAACAAGCGACGUCUCAGUGGGAAACAUCGGCUACCGGUAGCACUUAUUGUUGACAACUAGUAGAACUGCUAACCUUAUAGCAUCAAGGGAUUCAAGGGACACGUUUUCCAAGAUGGCUGAAGUAUAUAUUCGAGUGGCGGAGGAGGAAAACGAGGAGCCCAUGGAGAUCCCGUCCGAGGACGACGGCACUGUCCUGCUUUCCACCGUGGCCGCGCAGUUCCCCGGCGCGUGCGGCCUGCGCUUCAGGAGCCCCGUGUCUCAGUGCAUGCGGGGGGUGCGUCUCGUGGAAGGAGUCCUGCACGCACCAGAAAACGGAUGGGCCAAUGUGGUCUACGUAGUGAACUAUCCGAAAGAUAACAAAAGAAAGAUGGAAGAAAUUGACGCAUCCUCUGCUGUGAAAAUGAAGAGGGGAGACAUGAAGACGUCUGAUCUGAUCGUACUGGGUCUUCCGUGGAAAACGAGUGAACAGGACCUUAAAGACUACUUUAGCACAUUUGGAGAAGUCAUCAUGGUUCAGGUUAAACGAGACGCCAAAACGGGAAACUCCAAAGGAUUCGGCUUUGUGAGAUUCACUGAGUAUGAAGCACAAGAAAAGGUGGUCUCCCAGCGGCAUAUGAUUGACGGGAGAUGGUGUGACUGCAAGCUUCCGAACUCGAAGCAAGGUCCAGAUGAGCCUUUGAGGAGCCGGAAAGUGUUUGUAGGCCGUUGCACAGAGGACAUGACCACUGAUGACCUUCGGCAGUUCUUUAUGCAGUACGGGGAGGUCACAGAUGUCUUCAUCCCCAAGCCAUUCCGUGCUUUUGCCUUUGUCACGUUUGCAGAUGAUCAGGUUGCACAGUCUCUUUGUGGAGAGGACCUAAUAAUCAAAGGUGUCAGUGUUCACAUCUCAAAUGCUGAGCCCAAACAUGGCAAUAGGCAGUUUGAUCGUACAACGCGGUUUGGGAACGGGUUUGGAGCUCAAGCAUUUGGUAGCAGCCGUAGUGGGUUAGGGGGGAGCAGCAGUAACAGUAGUCUGGCUAAUUUUGGUUCUUUCAGCCUGAACCCCGCUAUGAUGGCCGCGGCUCAGGCGGCGCUGCAGAGUAGUUGGGGGAUGAUGGGUAUGCUGGCUAGCCAGCAGCAGACGUCCACUUCCGGCAGCACCUCCAGUGGAACAAGUUCUAGUCGGGACCAGAGUCAGUCUUUCAGUGCAGGAAACAGCAACUAUGGCACCAGCUCAGCCGGUCUCGGCUGGGGAACAGGGUCGAACUCUGCGACCAGCGGUAGUGGGUUCAGUUCAGGUUUUGGGUCCAGUAUGGAGUCAAAGUCAUCUGGGUGGGGUAUGUAAGCUAAAUAUUUGUAUGGUAAGUAUUGUGACAAAGAUGAGUCUUUUCAAAAUGUAUUUCUGGUGUGGAUGCGUAUCCGACAACUUAACACUUUUGUGGAAAUGUUUUGUACAUUUGGAAAAAAUGCUAAAGAUUUAAUUUAGAAAGUGUUGAAGUGAAUCGUUUACUAGGAUGUCUGACUAAAGUGCUAUUUUUGAUCUCAUUUGUUUGUAUCCAUUUCAACUGGAUUCUCUAAUGCAUGUAUUGUGAAAUGUGAUAACCAUUUUGAAAAUGCAUGAAAGUUUGUGGUUCACCAUUAUCCGGCUUGGUCAUCGACUUAAAAAGGCAAUCUUGCAUUGGGAAGAAUCUGGUUGAAACCUAAAUGUUUUAAGUGCAACUUUAUUUACAGUCAAGUUCUGUGGAAAAGCCUUCAUUGAAAUCUCUUCUGCAGUUCACCUCUCUUCCAUUUUCCUGUGAGGAAGCUCCUCUUUGGCAGCAUUCUUGGGGUGAUAUCGGUAUCAUUCUCCCUCUUCCCACCUGUAAAUGCUAUGCCAUCAAAGAACGGCUUCACUCCGCAUGUUCUGAGAGACGGGACCUUGGGCUCCGCUGGUCGAGGUCUCCGUUUGCAUCCUGACUGAAGUCUGUUCUGAAGGAUGAAGACAGAAGUUCCAACACUUUCAGUGUGUGGCCUUCUCAGACCCCGGGCUAGUACCUGUCCGUUUGCUGCUUUUGAUAGCUUGUCGGCAGAUAUGAUCUCUUUUCAAUUGUCCACAGCUACUUUGAAGUUGAAGUUCAGGGGGUGGGACUAAGGUUAGAAGAAUGUGUGUAAUGGACUUAUUGGAUUGCAUUUGAUUUCAGGAGGUGUACCUCCGUUAAGAGGUCAGUGUAUAUAGCAGAUAGGGGGCCUAAAUCGUGAUCAAGGCAGAUAUAUAAUUUAGGAUCUUGUAGUCUGUCACUAAGAAAAAGAGCUUUAUUUAUACUUAAUAAUCCAAUCAGGCAUCACUAUUGUCACAGUAGUGCCAAUGUGAUACCAUAUGACAUUGCAUCAACACAACUCACAAAAGUUAUUUAAUUCAAAAUGUAACAAAGAUUUAUUUUGUAGAACCCUGGACAGUUGAAAUGGAUCAUUUCCAUAAAAUCAUGGCUAUGGCACCAUUGACACGUAACUUGUCAUCAUGUAUAAGUAAACUUUAUUGUUCAUUUGAAUGUUGGCAACCAGUGCGACCCGGCAGCUCUGCCGGUGUUCUGUCCUUAUUCUCUGCUCUCCUCCUCAGUGUCUCUGCUUUUCCUCUUCCCAGUAUUCUUCUUUUUCAAAUCCCUCUGCUCUUGGAUCAGUUCUUCACUUUUAUUAUGUAUGUAGACAGACUGAAAUAAAUAAAGGCAAAUCAAACAAG